rnacentral:rRNA from 1 species
UACGUAGGGUGCAAGCGUUGUCCGGAAUUAUUGGGCGUAAAGAGCUUGUAGGCGGUUUGUCGCGUCGAAUGUGAAAACCCGGGGCUCAACCCCGGGCCUGCAUUCGAUACGGGCAGACUAGAGUUCGGUAGGGGAGUCUGGAAUUCCUGGUGUAGCGGUGAAAUGCGCAGAUAUCAGGAGGAACACCGGUGGCGAAGGCGGGUCUCUGGGCCGAUACUGACGCUGAGGAGCGAAAGCGUGGGGAGCGAACAGG